CGCGCGUUCCCAUUUUGUUGGUUUCUGAGAUCGCCGUAAUGAUUAAUAGGGAUAGUUGGGGGCAUUUGUAUUCCGACGUCAGAGGUGAAAUUCUUGGAUUGCCGGAAGACAAACUACUGCGAAAGCAUUUGCCAAGGAUGUUUUCAUUGAUCAAGAACGAAGGAAGGGGGAUCGAAAACGAUUAGAUACCGUUGUAGUCUCUUCUGUAAACUAUGCCAAUUGGGGAUCGGUACAGGAUUUUUAAUGACUGUAUCGGCACCCGAAGAGAAAUCUUUAAAUGAGGUUCGGGGGGGAGUAUGGUCGCAAGGCUGAAACUUAMAGGAMUUGACGGAAGGGCACCACCAGGUGUGGAGCCUGCGGCUUAAUUUGACUCAACACGGGGAAACUCACCAGGUCCAGACACAAUAAGGAUUGACAGAUUGAUAGCUCUUUCUUGAUCUUGUGGUUGGUGGUGCAUGGCCGUUCUUAGUUGGUGGAGUGAUUUGUCUGGUUAAUUCCGAUAACGAACGAGACCUUAACCUGCUAAAUAGACCAGCCGGCUUUGGCUAGCUGCUGUCUUCUUAGAGGGACUAUCAGCGUUUAGCUGAUGGAAGUUUGAGGCAAUAACAGGUCUGUGAUGCCCUUAGAUGUUCUGGGCCGCACGCGCGCUACACUGACAGAGCCAGCGAGUCUACCACCUUUGCCGGAAGGCAUGGGUAAUCUUGUGAAACUCUGUCGUGA
rnacentral:rRNA from 1 species